rnacentral:rRNA from 1 species
GUUAUAUGGUCAAGUGAAGAAGCGCAUACGGUGGAUGCCUUGGCAGUCAGAGGCGAUGAAAGACGUGGUAGCCUGCGAAAAGCUUCGGGGAGUCGGCAAACAGACUGUGAUCCGGAGGUAUCUGAAUGGGGGAACCCAGCCAUCAUAAGAUGGUUAUCUUGUACUGAAUACAUAGGUGCAAGAGGCGAACCAGGGGAACUGAAACAUCUAAGUACCCUGAGGAAAAGAAAUCAACCGAGAUUCCCUUAGUAGUGGCGAGCGAACGGGGACCAGCCCUUAAGUUGUAUUGAGAUUAGCGGAACRYUCUGGAAAGGGUGGCCAUAGUGGGUGAUAGCCCUGUACGCGAAAAUCCCUUUGCAAUGAAAUCGAGUAGGACGGGGCACGAGAAACCUUGUCUGAAUAUGGGGGGACCAUCCUCCAAGGCUAAAUACUACUGACUGACCGAUAGUGAACCAGUACCGUGAGGGAAAGGCGAAAAGAACCGCGGAGAGCGGAGUGAAAUAGAUCCUGAAACCGUAUGCGUACAAGCAGUGGGAGCCCACUUUGUUGGGUGACUGCGUACCUUUUGUAUAAUGGGUCAGCGACUUAUUUUCAGUGGCGAGCUUAACCGAAUAGGGGAGGCGUAGCGAAAGCGAGUCUUAAUAGGGCGUCUAGUCGCUGGGAAUAGACCCGAAACCGGGCGAUCUAUCCAUGGGCAGGUUGAAGGUUGGGUAACACUAACUGGAGGACCGAACCGACUACCGUUGAAAAGUUAGCGGAUGACCUGUGGAUCGGAGUGAAAGGCUAAUCAAGCUCGGAGAUAGCUGGUUCUCCUCGAAAGCUAUUUAGGUAGCGCCUCAUGUAUCACUGUAGGGGGUAGAGCACUGUUUCGGCUAGGGGGUCAUCCCGACUUACCAAACCGAUGCAAACUCCGAAUACCUACAAGUGCCGAGCAUGGGAGACACACGGCGGGUGCUAACGUCCGUCGUGAAAAGGGAAACAACCCAGACCGUCAGCUAAGGUCCCAAAGUCAUGGUUAAGUGGGAAACGAUGUGGGAAGGCUUAGACAGCUAGGAGGUUGGCUUAGAAGCAGCCACCCUUUAAAGAAAGCGUAAUAGCUCACUAGUCGAGUCGGCCUGCGCGGAAGAUGUAACGGGGCUCAAACCAUGCACCGAAGCUACGGGUAUCAUCUUUUGAUGAUGCGGUAGAGGAGCGUUCUGUAAGCCUGUGAAGGUGAGUUGAGAAGCUUGCUGGAGGUAUCAGAAGUGCGAAUGCUGACAUGAGUAACGACAAUGGGUGUGAAAAACACCCACGCCGAAAGACCAAGGUUUCCUGCGCAACGUUAAUCGACGCAGGGUUAGUCGGUCCCUAAGGCGAGGCUGAAAAGCGUAGUCGAUGGAAAACAGGUUAAUAUUCCUGUACUUCUGGUUAUUGCGAUGGAGGGACGGAGAAGGCUAGGCCAGCCUGGCGUUGGUUGUCCAGGUUUAAGGUGGUAGGCUGAGAUCUUAGGUAAAUCCGGGAUCUYAAGGCCGAGAGCUGAUGACGAGUGUUCUUUAGAACACGAAGUGGUUGAUGCCAUGCUUCCAAGAAAAGCUUCUAAGCUUCAGGUAACCAGGAACCGUACCCCAAACCGACACAGGUGGUUGGGUAGAGAAUACCAAGGCGCUUGAGAGAACUCGGGUGAAGGAACUAGGCAAAAUGGCACCGUAACUUCGGGAGAAGGUGCGCCGGUGAGGGUGAAGCAUUUACUGCGUAAGCUCAUGCCGGUCGAAGAUACCAGGCCGCUGCGACUGUUUAUUAAAAACACAGCACUCUGCAAACACGAAAGUGGACGUAUAGGGUGUGACGCCUGCCCGGUGCCGGAAGGUUAAUUGAUGGGGUUAGCGCAAGCGAAGCUCUUGAUCGAAGCCCCGGUAAACGGCGGCCGUAACUAUAACGGUCCUAAGGUAGCGAAAUUCCUUGUCGGGUAAGUUCCGACCUGCACGAAUGGCGUAACGAUGGCGGCGCUGUCUCCACCCGAGACUCAGUGAAAUUGAAAUCGCUGUGAAGAUGCAGUGUAUCCGCGGCUAGACGGAAAGACCCCGUGAACCUUUACUAUAGCUUUGCACUGGACUUUGAAUUUGCUUGUGUAGGAUAGGUGGGAGGCUUUGAAGCGUGGACGCCAGUCUGCGUGGAGCCAACCUUGAAAUACCACCCUGGCAACUUUGAGGUUCUAACUCAGGUCCGUUAUCCGGAUCGAGGACAGUGUAUGGUGGGUAGUUUGACUGGGGCGGUCUCCUCCUAAAGAGUAACGGAGGAGUACGAAGGUGCGCUCAGACCGGUCGGAAAUCGGUCGUAGAGUAUAAAGGCAAAAGCGCGCUUGACUGCGAGACAGACACGUCGAGCAGGUACGAAAGUAGGUCUUAGUGAUCCGGUGGUUCUGUAUGGAAGGGCCAUCGCUCAACGGAUAAAAGGUACUCCGGGGAUAACAGGCUGAUACCGCCCAAGAGUUCAUAUCGACGGCGGUGUUUGGCACCUCGAUGUCGGCUCAUCACAUCCUGGGGCUGAAGCCGGUCCCAAGGGUAUGGCUGUUCGCCAUUUAAAGUGGUACGCGAGCUGGGUUUAGAACGUCGUGAGACAGUUCGGUCCCUAUCUGCCGUGGACGUUUGAGAUUUGAGAGGGGCUGCUCCUAGUACGAGAGGACCGGAGUGGACGAACCUCUGGUGUUCCGGUUGUCACGCCAGUGGCAUUGCCGGGUAGCUAUGUUCGGAAAAGAUAACCGCUGAAAGCAUCUAAGCGGGAAACUUGCCUCAAGAUGAGAUCUCACUGGAACCUUGAGUUCCCUAAAGGGCCGUCGAAGACUACGACGUUGAUAGGUUGGGUGUGUAAGCGCUGUGAGGCGUUGAGCUAACCAAUACUAAUUGCCCGUGAGGCUUGACCAUAUAACACCCAAGCAAUU